UGGAAGAUACUUGUGAAAGCCAUUUGC
rnacentral:piRNA from 1 species